AGACACGAGUUUGAUCAGUGGCUACAGGACGAACGCUGGCGGCGCGCCUAACACAUGCAAGUCGAACGAGAGAGAGGAAGCUUGCUUCCUCAAUCGAGUGGCGAACGGGUGAGUAACGCGUGAGGAACCUGCCUCAAAGAGGGGGACAACAGUUGGAAACGACUGCUAAUACCGCAUAAGCCCACAGGUCGGCAUCGACCAGAGGGAAAAGGAGCAAUCUGCUUUGAGAUGGCCUCGCGUCCGAUUAGCUAGUUGGUGAGGUAAUGGCCCACCAAGGCAACGAUCGGUAGCCGGACUGAGAGGUUGAACGGCCACAUUGGGACUGAGACACGGCCCAGACUCCUACGGGAGGCAGCAGUGGGGAAUAUUGCACAAUGGGGGAAACCCUGAUGCAGCGACGCCGCGUGGAGGAAGAAGGUCUUCGGAUUGUAAACUCCUGUUGUUGAGGAAGAUAAUGACGGUACUCAACAAGGAAGUGACGGCUAACUACGUG
rnacentral:rRNA from 1 species